AUACGGAGGAUACAAGCGUUAUCCGGAUUUAUUGGGUUUAAAGGGUGCGCAGGCGGACCGCUAAGUCAGGGGUGAAAUGCCGUCGCUCAACGACGGAGCUGCCCUUGAUACUGGCGUGCUGGAGUACGGAUGCCGUUGGAGGAAUGAGUGGUGUAGCGGUGAAAUGCUUAGAUAUCACUCAGAACACCGAUUGCGAAGGCAUCUGACGAAUCCGUCACUGACGCUGAGGCACGAAAGCGUGGGGAUAGAACAGGAUUAGAUACCCUGGUAUUCCACGCCGUAAACGAUGAUGACUAACCGUCGGCGAUAGACAGCCGGUGGCCAAGCGAAAGCGAUAAGUCAUCCACCUGGGGAGUACGUCGGCAACGAUGAAACUCAAAUGAAUUGACGGGG
rnacentral:rRNA from 1 species